rnacentral:rRNA from 1 species
GUGGGAAUGCCCAGACAGCCAGGAGGUUUGCUUAGAAUCAGCCACCCUUUAAAGAAUGCGUAAUAGCUCACUGGUCGUGUCGGCCUGCACGUAAGAUUUAACGGGGCUAAGCUAUGCACUGAAGUUGCGGAAUAUAUUUAGUAUAUUUGUAGGGGAGCGUUCUGUAAGCCGAUGAAGGUGAAUUGAGAAGUUUGCUGGAGGUAUCAGAAUUGCGAAUGCUGACAUGAGUAACGUAAA